GCACCAUACUGCAAUGAAUGAGAAAAUUCCAGCAACAAUUUGGCAUAGACCAGGCCGCACAGCAUGUGAGAGAAAAGCACUGUGCUUACAGUACAAAACCCCAAAACAAAAUGACACAAGCCGGUCUGUAAUGUUCACAAAUGAAGGCCGAGAAGGCUCCAUUACAAUCACUAGAGCCAUACCAAACACCAUUAGAAAUAAAAGUGUUGUAGGUAAAUG
rnacentral:misc_RNA from 1 species